rnacentral:rRNA from 1 species
GCUAGCAGUGUAUCUCCUUGCAGUUCAUGUCUAGUUUGCUAGUGAAGCUAAGCAGAGUUGAGUCUGGUCUGUAGCUGGAUGGGAGACCUACUAGGAAAAACUAAGGUUGCUGCUGGAA